AUCUUCUAUUUGCAGAUAGUUUAAUUCCAAAAUUUAAGGUAGUCAAAAGGACAGUAUUCUUUGAAUUAUGUAUGCAAAAUAGAAUUAAGAGAAACCUAACAUCACCGACUCAUAUUUAUUUAAAAACUGUCAAUCUCAAUUGGAGCGUGCUAUAUUCAUUUGAGUUUUAUAAUAUCUUAAUCAAUAUUCAUGGCUUAAUCAUUCACAUACUAUCGGUCUUAAUUUCUCUGCCAAAGUAUUUCUCAAUAACAAAUAAUAUAAGUUUCAUUUUACAUUUUUUGCUUAUCAAAGAAGAAUCGAUUUUUAAUAUCUAUGAUUUAAUAACAUACAUGAUCCCUCAAUCGAGUGUGCACAUAUUUUCCGGCACCGAGCCGCAGCCUUGAUCGCGUUGCGAAAAGAAUGUUCCUGGCGGGCACUCUCUGGUGACCAUCAUACCCAUCAUACACUGGUAAUGUAGCCUGCAGCUGUAUGGGAACUCGGACAGCGGAGGCCGAAGAAGAAUUCCUUCGGGCAUGUUAAUGCAGACAUUUAAUGCUUCCGAAGGAUCGCACGUGGCAACGCAUUGUUGAGCCCGUUGACUGAAGAACAACCCUUGGGGACAGAUCCAUUCAUGUUCUUGUUCAUGAUGGCAGGCGAUAAAUUCGUUGCAGAUAGUUGGAAGUGGGAAACGGAUCAUUAAACCCCCAGGAAUACCAUCACAGAAGAAUGCUUCGGCGCUUUGCGAUGCUAGCAGCAGUGAUGCAAACGUUACAAGAAAUGCUGUAGAUAAAAAUAUUUAAAAUGAUUUGCAGGAUGAUACCAAGUGAUAUUUUGCCAAACCUUUCCUCAUGUCGAUAACACAAGUUUGAAUAUUCAACUGAAAGCAAAAGUGUUUUAAAGGCGUAAACAAUCUUAACAUUUUUAUCUUUUUUGUGAAUAAAAUACUUUCAUUAUCUGGUGCUUACGUUUGGCAUUCAAAUUAAAAUGAUAAAACUUUCUAGGACGUUCUGGGUAUCUGCUGAUAACACUAACCUUAUAAAUUUGUCCAGUUAUUUGAUCGUCAUACCUAUACUGCCCAUCACAAACCUAUGCAGUUUACCUAUGAAACAAAAACAAUUUAUCGGAAAUCGUUGAUCCCUCACGCGCGAGCCUGAUAAAUUUUAUCGAAAUACGCCUAAUUAUAAGCUUAGUUUCGACAUUUUUGUUAUUAUCUUACUAGUCUUUUUAUCGUAAGGACAGCACAAGCAUCAUUCCAAAGGGUGAUUCCGACAGAUCAGGAAGUCAAAUACGUUUAGUGAAAUGUUUUCAUCGAUCGUUAAAAUUAUUAGCUUUCUUGUUUUAAUACUUUUCCUGUCAGUUGAGAUAACAUGGGCUAGUAAUAUGUGCGACGGUCUUCCCGGAGGGACUUUGGUAAAAUGGCAUGAGAGUGCGGUCUGUGAUCGGUUUUAUGCCUGUCAACACGGCGUGGACCAUGAGUGGUUCUGUCCACCGGGUCAAUCCUUUAGUCAACGGAAUCAGCAAUGUGUGGAUCAAUGCAAUGUAUUAGAUCAGAAUCAAUGGUGUGCUGGAUUGCCUAACGGAUUUUUCAUACGAGUUCCCCCGAAUGAGCCAGCAAAUUGCAACAUGUACUACACGUGUUGGAACAAUGUGAUGCAUGCUCAAACGUGUCCCGGUGGACUGUUUUUCUCGCAACUGCACCAGAUGUGUGGCAACAGCAUAGAGCACUGCUAAAGCUAAAAGAUAUCUGUUGCUUUAAAUGAAAUUGAGUGAAGCAUAUUAUGCUAUGAAUAACAAAAUAAAUAAAUAAAAUUAUUUGUUUUCUGAGAAAAUUAAACUUAAAGAUUAAAA